AGAGUUUGAUCAUGGCUCAGAAUCAACGCUGGCGGCGCGCUUAACACAUGCAAGUCGCACGAGAAAGGGAGCAAUCCUGAGUAAAGUGGCGUACGGGUGAGUAACACGUGGAUCAUCUACCUUUUAGUGGGGAAUACCCCUGGGAAACUGGGGACAAUACCGCAUAAGCUCGUGAGAGGAAAGCAGCAAUGCGCUGAAAGAGGAGUCCGCGGCUGAUUAGCUAGUUGGUGAGGUAACGGCCCACCAAGGCGAAGAUCGGUAGCCGGCCUGAGAGGGCACACGGCCACACUGGCACUGAAAUACGGGCCAGACUCCUACGGGAGGCAGCAGUGGGGAAUCUUGCACAAUGGAGGAAACUCUGAUGCAGCGACGCCGCGUGAACGAUGAAGCCCUUCGGGGUGUAAAGUUCUUUCGACGGGAACGAUAAUGACGGUACCCGAAGAAGAAGCUGCGGCUAACUACGUGCCAGCAGCCGCGGUAAUACGUAGGCAGCAAGCGUUGUUCGGAAUUACUGGGCGUAAAGAGUGCGUAGGCGGUGCUCUAAGUCUGUUGUGAAAUCUCCCGGCUUAACUGGGAGGGUGCAGCGGAAACUGGAGUGCUUGAGGGUGGGAGAGGUAAGCGGAAUUCCUGGUGUAGCGGUGAAAUGCGUAGAUAUCAGGAGGAACACCUGGUGUAGACAGCUUACUGGACCACUUCUGACGCUGAGGCACGAAAGCGUGGGUAGCAAACAGGAUUAGAUACCCUAGUAGUCC
rnacentral:rRNA from 1 species